GCCGCGGUAGCUCAGCUGGUUAGAGCGCUAGACUCAUAAUCUAGAGGUCGGGUGUUCAAAUCUCCCCCGCGGCA
rnacentral:tRNA from 1 species